AGCCCUCCUUUCCUCUUUUUUAUUUAUUCUCUCAACUCCCAUCAUCCUAAUCAAUCAAAGAACCUUGCACAAAUUCGUGCAAGGUCUCAAAUAGCCCAUGAAAUCGUCCCCUUUGCCUCCUGAAUCCGUGAAUCUCGCUGGUUUCUUCCCGUUUCAUCUCUCAAAUUUAAAAAUUCCCAAAUCCGAAACCUUAGACCAAAUGAUGCAAUGUCAAGUCUUCAGAAAUCUUCUUUAUUUUGUUAAAUCAGUGGCAUGCAUGGCCGUCUCCCAGUGCUAUCAUAUUUAUUCUUGGUCCAGAGGUCAAGUGAAGCGACCUCUGGAUAUUGAGGCUCUUACCUGAUGGAGUUUUCCUUCAACGGUCAACUUUCCCCCCUCUCAGGUAAAAUCCCUACUAAUUUCCCUCUAUCUUCUCAGAUUUUCACCCGAUUAUGCUAAUAUCACUACUCCUUUGUCACUCUCCACCACCGAGUUUGAUUUCUGUUGAACCUAAGGUAUUGAAUUCCACUACAAAAUGGGACUUUAAAUGCUCUCACCUAACAGACCUAACACAAGAUACACAUAAAAUCACUUAGCAAAUAGAGAAAUAUCAACUUUAGUCUUGAGUGGUAAAAAUAGGGUUUUCUAACUAGCUUCUGAUUUCUUCUGAUUUCGAGUUCUGCACUGGUCAGAGUUUGAGUUCUUGAUUCCUGAACAGCUAACAAAAAUCCUUGUUUGGUUUGCUUCUCAAAGGAAGGUCAGGGAGCGUCGAUCCUUCCUCUCCUUUAACUGUUUAGUUAAAAUUAUGCCUACUCUAUUAUCUUCUGUUAAUUAACUUUGCUCAUGACGUGUUUUUAUUAGUUUAUAAUUGAUUAUCUUUGCUUAUAAUGUGUUAUUAUUAGUUCAUAAUUGACAUUAUGCUUUGAUAUUAUUUCCCUCAAUGAUCUGAAGCUAAACCAAUACUAAUCGACAAUUUUGUAAUCUUGAUGAAUAUGCAAUGUGUGAUUAACAAAGAACCAUAUUAAUUAUGUACAUCUGCUUUGACCUUAAAAUUCCCUGAUGACUUUGUUAUGGUCCUCAUGCUUACUUUAAUAAUCCUUACUUAGUGUUACUUGUUGAUUUGUAUCAUGUACUUAAGGUUAUCUAUCUGAUAAAUCAAAAGUAGAAAAAGGGAUAUGAACACUUAAGGUUAAAUACAUGGCUAUCAUUUUAGUUACGACAUACCAGUUUAAGUUGUUUGGGUUGCUUUCUCUCUUCCAAUGUGCUUAUGGAAUUCUGAUACCUCUUAAGAGAUCACUGCAAAGGUUUUUCUGUAAACUUUCUUGAUUGUGUGAUCAUAUCUGUGAAGCCUCACCCAAAUGUAAAUAUUUCUGAAAUGAAACUGGUUUAAGUUCUUAUGAGUUUCUGUAGUUAAUCUUAUAUGAACUCUGAUUGCUACUGUUAAACUAGACCAAGCAUGUUUAGAAUUGUCUUCAAGGAUCUGAUUAAGAAAUAGAGUCUGGUUGAGAGUUAUAGCUAUUGUACAUGUAUAUCAUUCUUGAACUGACCAUACUAAGUUAAACUUCAUCAUUCUUGGACUAAUGCAUUCACCUAUUUAACUGGACUAGUUUUCUUGCUACUAGAACCAUGCUUAUUUCAUGUGAAACCUUCCUUGUCCUAGACUUAUGUACUAAAUUUGUUGGUCUGACCCUAUGAUGUUUGACAUUCUACCAUGUUGUAGUCUUGCACUCCUUAAGGAUAUCUCUUGUAAGUGCUUAGUUGUCUUCUCCUGGUUUUUCUGCACUCAUUCAUUAAACAAACUUCAUGCUUACCUUUCAUACUCAUGCUUAUGCUCUCAUAUUGUACUAUCACACACGGGAAAUUAAGCCUUUCUAGGCCUACAUAGUUAACUGUGACUCACCUGUACACUUAAGGGAAGCUCUAAAUGCAUACCUCCCUUGUCAGAACAUUACCUUGCGUUUAUAUGAAUGUCUUAACUCCUAAUGAGCCUAGUAUAAAUGUGAGGUUAUUAGCCUUUAAAGAUCAUGUCAUCUGCUUAUGUAAAGAUCAAUUUGCUCGCUUAAGUGUACUUCUUAAUAUGCUUUAAGGAUUUUGAAUGAGGCUGUUAACUCAUACUAUUAGUAGAGAUUAAGACUUAGUCUAUGAAUUAAUCUUUAAUUAAUUCAAAACAUAGUCUAAUAAGCUGUCAAGGUAUUAUGAGCAGGGUCUCUUGUAAAAUUUGAAAUUAUCAGUAGAUGCAUGAGUCUCCUUACUCCUUAAUCAUAUGACUGAAUGUUUGGAUUCCUAAAUAAUUUGUUGGUGUUUCCUCUCUUUGGUUGUACAUGCUUUGGCUUCUUUGAGUAUUCCUAAGUUUGUUGAAGAUGUUGGCAAUGUACUACACCCUUGUGUUUGGAUUGUGAUCCUUAUGGUUUUAUUUUCUAUCACAAUAUUCAUAGUAAUAUUUUGUAUAAUCUCUGUGAGAAUUGUAUAUACCUCUGUUAUAUUAUUACUGUUUUAGAGCUACAGUGAGUGCCUCACUGGCACUUAAACCUAUAGGUAAGAGUAAGUGUGAGUGGUUAAGGGUAUUUGGGAGUAAGGUUUAGUUUGUGUUUGAGAUGCCCUUCCUGACACAAGCACUACUCGGGGUCCUUGAGACUCUUUGUCACGACCCAAAAUCUCAACUUAGCCGGUCGGGUGGGGAUCGGACACCAUGCCAUACAUAUGGUGGUUCCUCCUUCUUAUCAUUAUAUUUGAUUUGUAUCACCAUGCCGAUCCAUAUUCAUUCGUGGUGAGAUGGCUUAUCCGAUCAAGCGGAGAUCAAACUCUAUGCCAUGGGCACAGGGGUAAUGGGUAUCCAUGUCCACUCGCAUUGGGAUGAGACGUCUUAGUCAGUCAAGCGGUGAUCAGACUCCAUGCCUCGUGCAUGAUGUGACGAUCGGUGGCUAAUGCUCUCCCAACCAAACAUAGUGAUGCUUAUUUUAAAAUUGGUUAUGUCUUAACUUGGCUUUUAGAUAUUAUUGGUUUUCCUUGCUGCUUUCAUGAUUCUCUCCUUCUUAUGUUGGCAUUCUAUUCCAAGAGAGGGUAUUUAGCUUUACAUACUUAUACUAUUCCAUGUGUACUAAUGUCUCUUUUGUCGGGGACGCUGCAUCUUUAAUGGAUGCAGGUGGCUCCAUAGCAGGUGACUCAGGUUCUUGAUAGGUGUUCCCUCUUCUCAACUGACUUGGUGAGCCCUACUCUAUAUCAGGGUGGUAUGUUUGUACUGACACUUUUAUAUUAUUUUGAGGUAUAGACAUGACCUUAUCACCGGCAUCUCCACACUAUUAUCAUGUCAUUCAGAGGCUCCGUAGACAUACUAUGGGUCGUGUUUUGAAUGGGGGAAAACUAUAAAUAUCGUUCCUGUCAGUUGAUCUCACUUACAAACUAUGAACUUGUAUUAUGUUGCCUUCUACAAAUGAAUCUAAUUUGUGAAAUUGGAAGUGUACAUUUUACCCUCUUGUUUGACUAUAUGUUCGUAUUUAUUCAU
rnacentral:lncRNA from 1 species